rnacentral:rRNA from 1 species
AUGAACGCUAGCGGCGUGCCUAAUACAUGCAAGUCGAGCGAACAGACGAGGAGCUUGCUCCUCUGACGUUAGCGGCGGACGGGUGAGUAACACGUGGAUAACCUACCUAUAAGACUGGGAUAACUUCGGGAAACCGGAGCUAAUACCGGAUAAUAUAUUGAACCGCAUGGUUCAAUAGUGAAAGACGGUUUUGCUGUCACUUAUAGAUGGAUCCGCGCCGCAUUAGCUAGUUGGUAAGGUAACGGCUUACCAAGGCAACGAUGCGUAGCCGACCUGAGAGGGUGAUCGGCCACACUGGAACUGAGACACGGUCCAGACUCCUACGGGAGGCAGCAGUAGGGAAUCUUCCGCAAUGGGCGAAAGCUUGACGGAGCAACGCCGCGUGAGUGAUGAAGGUCUUCGGAUCGUAAAACUCUGUUAUUAGGGAAGAACAAAUGUGUAAGUAACUAUGCACGUCUUGACGGUACCUAAUCAGAAAGCCACGGCUAACUACGUG